UCGAGAAUUUUUCUCAAUGGGGGAAACCCUGAAGGAGCGACGCCGCGUGGAGGAUGAAGGGCUUCGGCUUGUAAACUCCUGUCAUUUGGGAACAAGCUGUACGUAUUAACUGUACGUGCAUUGAUAGUACCAGAAGAGGAAGAGACGGCUAACUCUGUGCCAGCAGCCGCGGUAAUACAGAGGUCUCAAGCGUUGUUCGGAUUCAUUGGGCGUAAAGGGUGCGUAGGUGGCGCCGUAAGUGGGGUGUGAAAUCUCGGGGCUUAACUCCGAAACUGCAUUCCAUACUGCGGUGCUUGAGGACUGGAGAGGAGACUGGAAUUCAUGGUGUAGCAGUGAAAUGCGUAGAGAUCAUGAGGAAGACCAGUGGCGAAGGCGGGUCUCUGGACAGUUCCUGACACUGAGGCACGAAGGCCAGGGGAGCAAACGGGAUUAGAUACCCCUGUAGUCC
rnacentral:rRNA from 1 species